CGUUCAGUACUUCAAGCCUUCAAGGACAUAUACAACUGCAAUCUGCAGUAUACUACUUGGCCCUGCCUGCAGUCUGGAAGUGAUUAUCGGCCUGUAUAUUUGCCUAUGGAGGCAUGCAAGCUUGUUGAAGGGCAAAGGUACUCUAAGAAGUUGAAUUAUAAACAGGUCACCAACGUACUUAGAGCUAGUUGUCAACGUCCCCAGCAGAGGGAGCAAAGCACUCAUGAGGCACCUGUAUUUAGAUGCUAUUUAGCUAGGCAAUUUCAUGAGUGGGUGCCUGUACAAAUUGCUCGAGUAUUUUCAGCCACGUCAAUGUCCAGCACCUCUUGUAACAAUAUGGACGGCCACUACUUCUUCGGCUCAAAUUCUGAUAUGAACAAACUAGAAUUU
rnacentral:rRNA from 1 species